rnacentral:tRNA from 1 species
GCCGAGGUGGCGAAAUUGGCAGACGCGCACGCUUCAGAAGCGUGUCCUGGUUUACAGGAUGGAGGUUCAAGUCCUCUCCUCGGCACAA